rnacentral:rRNA from 1 species
AUUGAACGCUGGCGGCAGGCCUAACACAUGCAAGUCGAACGAGUGGCGGACGGGUGAGAAAUGUCUGGGAAACUGCCUGAUGGAGGGGGAUAACUACUGGAAACGGUAGCUAAUACCGCAUACCAUCAGAUGUGCCCAGAUGGGAUUAGCUAGUAGGUGGGGUAACGGCUCACCUAGGCGACGAUCCCUAGCUGGUCUGAGAGGAUGACAAGCCACACUGGAACUGUGCCACGGUCCAAACUCCUACGAGAGGCAGCAGUGGGGACUAUUGCACAAGGGGAGCAAGCCGGAUGCAGCCAUGCCGCGUGUAUGAAGAAGGCCUUCGGGUUGUAAAGUACUUUUAGCGGGGAGGCGUUACCCGCAGAAGAAGCACCGGCUAACACCGUGCCAGCAGCCGCGGUAAUAC